rnacentral:rRNA from 1 species
AGCCUAACAGCUAGCCCACAGACACAAAAUCAAUUUAACCCUAUUUAUAACCCCAAAUAUACUCACAUAUAAUCUUAACAAACCAUUUUUCCCCUUUAGUAUAGGCGAUAGAAAAAGAACCAAG